GACGUAGGUGGCGAACGUUAUCCGGAAUUACUGGGCGUAAAGGGCUCGUAGGCGGCCAACUAAGUCACACGUGAAAUCCCCAGGCUUAACCUGGGAACUGCGUGUGAUACUGGAUGGCUUGAAUUCGGGAGAGGGAUGCAGAAUUCCAGGUGUAGCGGUGAAAUGCGUAGAUAUCUGGAGGAAUACCGGUGGCGAAGGCGGCAUCCUGGACCGACAUUGACGCUGAGGAGCGAAAGCUAGGGGAGCAAACGGG
rnacentral:rRNA from 1 species